AAACAACAAUGUUUUAAUAUAUGGCUUAAAACUUCAAAAAAAAAAAAUUUCUUUAUGAAUUCAUAAAAUUUGAUAUUUCACUAAAAUUGCAAAAAAAAAAGUAUUUUCCGCCAAACCCGGGAAAUCGAGUUUUUCUGCUAAAACCGAGAAAUCAAGUUUUCCCGUCAAACAUGAGAAAUAGAGUUUUCCCGCCAAAACCGAGAAAUCAUGUUUUCCCGCC
rnacentral:lncRNA from 1 species